AGUUAAAAUUUUCAUUUAUUUUUACUGUUAAAAACUGACAUAGUUGAUGGAAUAACUAGAUAGUUACACAUUAAGUGCCAUGUGUAUCUCAUGACAACGUACAGAGACUAGUUUUUAACAGUAAAAAUGAAUAAAAAUUUUAAUA
rfam:Gossypium arboreum cultivar AKA8401 contig_4174_7, whole genome shotgun sequence.